GCUUUCUGAAAAGCAAACAAGCAGGAGAGGAUUGUUGGGAAAGGAAGUGGCCAGGCCUGUCCAAGGGGAGGCAGGCGUGGAUUAGCAAUGGGAGCGGAGGUUCCAGGAGCUCGAUAAAGGAUUUGCCAGGGCUGGGAAUGCGGAGGGACAUCCGUCACCUCCCCUUCACUGCGUGAUAUCGUGACAUCGAGCGAUUUAUGACCAAACCAGAACCGACUAGUUUGGCAAAAGGGGUAUGGAGAGGAGCCAGUGGAGCAUCGUGGAAAAACUGCUCCUGCAAGGCGAUAGGGGAAAUUGUGUUAUUUUAAAAUUGCUGAUUUAUCGUACUUUGUUAAGUUGGUACAGCAAAUGGCUCUGGGAGUGCUGCCUGCUUGUGCAAGCUGCUUUUCUUGUGCUUUAAUCUGUUUUUCAGUACAAGAGCCACUCCAGUUUCAGCUCCCGCUCUGUAAGUCACAUUUUCAGCACGAUCAGUGUCAGGAAUUUGUAAAAUAAAUAAUUAAAUAAAUAGUGGUUUGUGUCUGUGUUGGGUUGAUUUUUUUUUUUUUUUUUAAGAAAAAAUCCUGGAGUAAAUAUUCCAUCAGCUGGUUGCUAAUUACAGCCAUUUGGGGAACGUUAAUUAGGACCACUUGCAGUGAACAUUGUUCAAGGAGGUUUAAAUUUCAUUUCUGCAUUUCAGUUUGAUUUUGGGUGGAGAGAGAAGUUGUGAGAGCUGUUACACCCAAUAAAGGGACUUACUUACUGAACCCCCCAGCUUUUCUGGACUCCACUGCCCUAAGAAACACCUCCAACUCUAAAGGGAACAGUUCACCCCCUCAGAGUGCCAGAACUGGACACCAGUAACAACCAAUCUAUGGUACUGUCCUCCACCUUUGUGUUUUAGGGGUGAUGGGGGAUCAUUUUGGUCUAAUUUUUCCUGUGUUUUUUUGACAGCACUUGAUGGGGCACUUCCUCCUCCUUCUCCAUACAUUGCCAGGGACCGCAUUGCCAGCAGGACCAAAUUCCGAGAGAGAGCCUCCUGGAGAAUCCACUGCAGCCAGGAAUGUUUUCCAAGACAUCCCUUGAUGCACCACUGAGUUCCAGGCCUGACAGAGGACCCAUGGCAACAGCCCUGGGCUCUGCCGGGUCAGGCUGGAACAGGAGGUGGUGACAUCUGAUAAGGAACAGAUAAACUGAGGUUGCACUAUCCUGUGACUCCCCCUCUCCUGCCCUGCAUUCCUCUGAAAUAAUUGGGGUUUUUCUUCUCACUCUCAAAUUCCGGACUGGGGCACAUCCCCUUCAGCACAUUCUGUAAAGGCAGCCCUUGUGUUUUGCAGUCCAAGUGCUCUGCUAGCUCAGCUCUGCUCCUGGGUGUCCAGCAGCUCAUUCUCGGCUGCAGUCAUAUCCUUCCCGACACUCCUCUGCUGCACACUCAACUAUGGUCCUCUCCACCUUCAUCCUCUGAAGAGCAGCUCAGAGCAACACUUCCAGCAGCAAUUUCCUUUCCAAGAUGCCAAAAUUGCACCUCAUACCAGACAUGGCAGCUGGUCCCUUUGUGGCACAGAGAGGGAAGGAAUCAACAAGUUGUAACUCUAUUUCUGGCUGUAAGCAGGAAUUUCAGAGCAGCCUUUAAGGAUCCCACUUGCUGUCAGCAGAGUACAGGAUACAGCUCUGAACGGGGAUGCACUGCACAGCCCAGCCUGGUACACCACUUCCAACUGUGCUGUGCCAGCACAUGUGAGACUGGGCUCCCUGGAACAGCAACAGUCUCUCAGGCUUGUGGAAUACACUAACUGCAUUUUCCCAAGCAUUUCUGUACUGCCAUAAGGUCUGGAAAUCUACUGAUAAAAGGGAGACAACUGGUAUUGGAGUGCCUCAAAGAUAACAUGCCAUUGCCUGACUCCUUCCUGAGGCCAUUCCAAGAGUCUCCACCCUCCUACACAAUGGAGUUUACCUCUGAAGUUGUUCCUGCCCCUCCCUCUGUCUACAUCUUCAGGUAUUGCAUUAGGGAGUCUUUGAUACCCAAACCCAGUAGGAAAGCAUCCAGGUCACUCAGCCUCCACAAAAGCAGCAAGCCAUGUGCAGCCUCAGAGCCCUGAUCCAAGGCAACGUGUGUGCUGCUGCUGGAGGAGGAAGGCAGCUGUGUGCAGGCACCUGGAAUCGUGCAGCCACCUGGAACUGCACCGCCACCAUGGCCCAGCCGAGGGCAAACAAAUCCCACAGGCAGGAAAGGAACACCUCUGUCAUCCCAAAGCACACAGUACUGGAAACAUCUCCUGGUUCUGCAAGCAUGUGAAACAAUGUGAUCCUCCUGAAUGUGCCAACAAGUCCUUCCCUGUCCUUGCUCACUCUUGGAUUCCCAGAAUAUCAGAGGGCUUUAUUCUCAACAGGGAUUGCCCCCUGCUUCUCUUUCUUCUGCAUAAAAUGGGCAAAACUGUGGUCAGAGAUGGGAUGGAGUUGAGCUGCAGGCUGUGGCAUGCACCUGCAGGAGCACAUCGGAGCACAAAGGAGCACAUGGCAGCACAGAGAGGCUUGUCUCUGCCUGACUUUGGGGGCAGGAGGUGCCACGUGGCAGAGCCAGGCAGAGAGGAGCCUGCCGGAAGUUGACAGAUGGGUGAACAGCCGUGACCACCCCAUAGAAGGACAUUAUUUCUUAAUAUCCUAGAAGAACUUGUUCUGCCCUGCGUCAUCAGGUGGAGCCGUAUUGCGGUGAGUAGCUGGAGCAGAGCGGGCCAUUUGUGGUAGAGUGUUCCCUCUCCAUUUGCCCUCUGCGAGAGUGUGGCAGCAGCAGCAGAGGCAGCAGCCGGAGGGCAUGGGGAGCCGCAGGGGCGCAGUGCUGUAGCGGCGGUGGUGAGUGCAAGGCACCAAGCACAUGGUGGCGAGCACGUGGCAGGGCUGUGCCAUGCUGGCAAGCACAUGGCACAGCCAGGGGCCGGCAACGAACGCUGACAUAGCAGGUCUGGUGGGAUGCGUGUGGCUCUCUGCAUGUGGGCAGUAAGAAGGUGACCCAAGGAGCCUGAUGGCACUGGGAGGGGCAGUGCCAUGUCCCUGCUCCCUGCACAUGGCAGGGUUUGCCCAGGGAGAUGAGGCCGCCAUCUUCUGCAGGAGUGGCUGCAAGCUUGGCAUAAAGUUCCUGGGCUGGUCUGUAAAACUCUGCUGUAAUGUUGCCACAAUCCUGGAGUCUAUCUCAAAGAUUGCUCUUUUACCACAUCACCUCGUGACCCCCUGGAUUGUUCUAACUGCUCUUUGUUAUGGAUGCUCUUGUAUUUUUAAGUCAUUUUUUGCUCUUGUUAAAAUCUAACUUUUAUGUUUUCACUAAGCUGUAGAUUUUGACAGGACUGUUAAUUAGAUUUAAGGUUAACUGGGUGAUGGUAGUAUAUUUCUGGAUCCAGACAGCAUUAAUACAUAGAGCUUUUAUGAAGGGCUUUAGUAGUAAGAUAAUUAUCUAAUGUUACUUAUAUGCAUUAUUUUGGUUACAUUAAUAAAGGUUUGCUUGUAGAUAUUUUGGGGAAACCCUCCCAGUCAAGGCUUGGGCCCUGGCCUAGCCCUGGCCCUGGCUGGUAAGGGAAGUAUACCAUCAGACCCAAGUAUUUCUGCGCUAGAAGUGUAAUCAAUUCAUUUUGACUUGCUGAUUUGGUCUUAUAAAAGCUGGAUCCACUUUUAAGGUAAACUUGGAAACCUUGCCCAGGAAAGGUUUUCCAGGUCCUCACUGUGAAAUGGGUCUAUGUGGUGGCAAACAGCAGGCCUGUAUAAGGUCUUGCAGACUGAAUCCUAAUUUGGUCCAACACAGCUGUGAGAAAGCUAACAGCUCUUCGUGAAAACAGAAGCCUGUAACGGCGAAAACUAACUUGUUUCCCUGCAAAAGAAUUCUACAAUUAGGACUGUUUUCCUGUACCUGUUUCAACAAUCCCAACCGUCUCAGCAAAAGAAUGAAAACAGUAUCUCACAAACAGCCCUUUCUUUCAUGUAGACACCUUGUCCAAGACUGACCAAUUACUAUGGGGUAACAAACAGCUUAUUACUGACCAAUAGGGGAUAGACAUGGGAGGGUUUAUAAAACUAUAUAAAGGGAUGUAUAAAAUAAAGUGGUAGCUUUUUUCAUGCCUUGAAAGAGUGUGUCUUGUCUCUCUGAAACGAGGUCAACAGUGACAGGGCUCUCCAGCGAUGGCACACUCUGGGUAACGGUAAAGUAUUUAGGCAGUUAAAGGUAUUACCUUGUUUUUGCUCAGUAGUGCUUGUUGCUUUGUAGAUGCAUUGUUUUACUGGGUUUAAAAUAUGUUCAUUUUAUAGUUGUUAAAACAAAAAAGAGGGAGUGUGGGGAUGGGCUAUAUUCCCCACAAAGGCCUUACAUGUUCUUAAUCACAUUCAGAAUGACCUAAACUCUGUCCAAUUACAUUUUUGCGAAUCACAAGCUCACUUAGACUUACUAAGAAUCUUGAAAGUAGAAAAUGAGAAGGACCCUUUCCAUUGAUAACCUGGGGGCAAAGUUAUGCUUGUGUUUUCAUAGAUUCCAGUCCAUGAUGGGUACCUGCAAGAGUGAUCCAACCAGCCUUGGUUGUUCUGGCUUUAUCAUCAACUUGUGGGGAAGCUGAGAGAACAAGAUGAAUGGAGUUUGUUUGGUUUGGGUUGUGGGCCAAUGUUGGGAUGUUCUAAUGUUGGGAGUGUUUCGUUUAGUGAUUCUUGUUUGUAUAAAACAAAAAAGAGGGAAUUGUGGUCAGAGAUGGGAUGGAGUUGAACUGCAGGCUGUGGCACGCACCUGCAGGAGCACAUCGGAGCACAAAGAAGCACAUGGCAGCACAGAGAGGCUUGUCUCUGCCUGACUUUGGGGGGAGGAGGUGCCAUGUGGCAGAGCCAGGCAGAGAGGAGCCUGCCGGAAGUUGACAGAUGGGUGAACAGCAGUGACCACCCCAUAGAAGGACAUUAAGAAAGUGUGUUGCUGACGUGGUGAUGUGUGAUUGGUCGCUUACUGAGAAUUACUGUAAAAGGAAAUAAUUGUGUCGUGAAGAAGCGUAUAAAAGCAGCUUGUUUCUUUGAAUAAAUGAUUCUGAUUCCUUGCU